AUGACAGUGUUGUUACUGGUUUUCUGUUGUAAAGAGGAAUCAGCUGAUUUCAUAACAGUAAGGACCCUGAACUUGCUUCCUCUUUCGCCAAUACAGGCACAAAUUUCCUCCUUCAGCUACUUGGUUCUUCACAGCUUUAGUAGAAGAGAGCAGAAGAGCAACCCACCUGAGCAACACUUUGAGCUGAAGUGCCUACACAGACUGCAGAAGGCAAGUCACUGGCAUGCAUCUUUGACUGUGCUGUGUUUUAAGAGAUGGAAUGGGCAAAAUGUACAGAUGAGAAACAAAGCAAAAGCCCCAAAGCCCCGUGCUUGGAUUUUACUACACUGCACUAUAAAGAUAUGCUUUCUGAUUUAGAGGUUUCUGUGUUUAAGACUGUGGUAGCUAAAAAUCCCUGACAUCUGAACUGUUGGGAAGCAACAUGCACAAUAAAACAAUGUUGUGGUUGCA
rnacentral:lncRNA from 1 species